rnacentral:rRNA from 1 species
CAGCAGCCGCGGUAAAACGUAGGUGGCAAGCGUUGUCCGGAAUUAUUGGGCGUAAAGGGCUCGCAGGCGGUUUCUUAAGUCUGAUGUGAAAGCCCCCGGCUCAACCGGGGAGGGUCAUUGGAAACUGGGAAACUUGAGUGCAGAAGAGGAGAGUGGAAUUCCACGUGUAGCGGUGAAAUGCGUAGAGAUGUGGAGGAACACCAGUGGCGAAGGCGACUCUCUGGUCUGUAACUGACGCUGAGGAGCGAAAGCGUGGGGAGCGAACAGGAUUAGAGACCCCCGUAGUCCCUGUCUCUUAUAC